rnacentral:tRNA from 1 species
GUUAAGAUGGCAGAGCCAGGACACCGCAAAAGAUCUAAGCCCUUUCCACAGAGGUUCAAAUCCUCUUCUUAACU